rnacentral:rRNA from 1 species
GACGAACGCUGGCGGCGUGCCUAAUACAUGCAAGUAGAACGCACAGUUUAUACCGUAGCUUGCUACACCAUAGACUGUGAGUUGCGAACGGGUGAGUAACGCGUAGGUAACCUGCCUGGUAGCGGGGGAUAACUAUUGGCAACGAUAGCUAAUACCGCAUAAUAUUGAUUCUUGCAUGAUAAUUGAUUGAACGAUGCUAUUGCAUCACUACCAGAUGGACCUGCGUUGUAUUAGCUAGUAGGUGAGGUAACGGCUCACCUAUGCGACGAUACAUAGCCGACCUGAGAAGGUGAACGGCCACACUGGGACUGAGACAAGGCCCAGACUCCUACGGGAGGCAGCAGUAGGGAAUCUUCGGAAAUGGACGAAAGUCUGACCGAGCAACGCCGCGUGAGGGAAGAAGGUUUUCGGAUCGUAAAGCUCUGUUGUAAGAGAAGAACGGGUGUGAGAGUGGAAAGUUCACACUGUGACGGUAUCUUAACAGAAAGGGACGGCUAACUACGUG